rnacentral:sRNA from 1 species
GGGGCCGGGGCCCGGUGGAGCUCAAAAUAUGGUAACCCUAAGUUCUGGGCUGCCGGGGGCUGUGCCGAGCGGAUGUCCACACUGAGUUCGGUAUCGAUAUGGGGAUCACUGGGGGUCCCCAGGUUGCCUAAGGAGGGGUGAACCGGCCCAGAUCGGAAACGGAGCAGGUCAAAACUCCCGCGCCGAUCAGUAGUGGGAUCGCGCCUGUGAACAGCCCCUGUGGCAUAGCCU